CGUACUAAACUCUACUGUGGUAGAUGCUAUAAGCAGGUGGUCCUAACGCCAGUGCUGGAGAAGCGCGGUUUGGCUGACUCUCCAACGGACCUGCUCCCUCACACAGUGACUCUGGUGUCCAUGCCUGCUGCCACCAAUGGUAAAAGGGGUUUCUCUGUCAGUGUGCUUAGAGACUGCACCAGUGCCACGGCCAGUGUUCAGGUCAAAGAGGUCAGAGGGAUGCAUAUUAGUCCAGAGGUUCGGAACGCCAUCCAUGUUGGGGACCGAAUCCUGGAGAUCAAUGGACUCCUCGGUGUCAG